CAACCUUGCGGCCGUACUCCCCAGGCGGGGCACUUAAUGCGUUAGCUGCGGCACGGAAGGGGUCGAUACCUCCCACACCUAGUGCCCAUCGAUUAGGGCGUGGACUACCAGGGUAUCUAAUCCUGUUUGCUACCCACGCUUUCGAACAUGAGUGUCAGUUACAUGCCAGGAAGCCGCCUUCGCCACCGGUGUUCCUCCGAAUAUCUACGAAUUUCACCUCUACACUCGGAAUUCCGCUUCCCCCUCAUGCACUCUAGAAAGGCAGUAUCAAAGGCAGUGCCACAGUUAAGCUGUGGUCUUUCACCUCUGACUUACCAAACCACCUGCGUUCGCUUUACGCCCAAUAAAUCCGAACAACGCUCGCCACCUCUGUCUUACCGCGGCUGCUGGCACAGAGUUAGCCGUGGCUUCUUCUCCCGGUACCGUCGAUCCUCCUGAUUAUUUACCAGGAGGGAAUUCGUUCCGGUCGAAAGGGGUUUACAAUCCGAGAACCUUCAUCCCCCACGCGGCGUUGCUGCGUCAGGCUUUCGCCCAUUGCGCAAUAUUCCCCA
rnacentral:rRNA from 1 species